UACAGAGGGUGCGAGCGUUGUUCGGAAUUAUUGGGCGUAAAGGGCGCGUAGGCGGUGCGGUAAGUCACCUGUGAAAUCUCCUGGCUCAACUGGGAGCUUGCAGGCGAAACUGCCGUGCUGGAGUGUGGGAGAGGUGCGUGGAAUUCCUGGUGUAGCGGUGAAAUGCGUAGAUAUCAGGAGGAACACCGGUGGCGAAGGCGGGUCUCUGGGCCGAUACUGACGCUGAGGAGCGAAAGCGUGGGGAGCGAACAGG
rnacentral:rRNA from 1 species